rnacentral:tRNA from 1 species
CGGGGUGUAGCGCAGCCAGGUAGCGUAUCUGACUCGGAUUCAGAGGGUCGCCGGUUCAAAUCCGGCCACCCCGACCA